rnacentral:rRNA from 1 species
UUCCGGUUGAUCCUGCCGGACCCGACCGCUAUCGGGGUAGGGCUAAGCCAUGCGAGUCGCGCGCCCGGGGGCGCCCGGGAGCGGCGCACGGCUCAGUAACACGUGCCCAACCUACCCUCGGGAGGGGGACACCCCCGGGAAACUGGGGCCAAUCCCCCAUAGGGGAGGGGCGCUGGAAGGCCCCCUCCCCCAAAGGGAUGGCGGCCGAUCCGCCGCCAUCCGCCCGAGGAUGGGGGCACGGCCCAUCAGGUAGUUGGCGGGUUAAAGGCCCGCCAAGCCGAAGACGGGUAGGGGCGGUGAGAGCCGCGAGCCCCGAGAUCGGCACUGAGACAAGGGCCGAGGCCCUACGGGGUGCAGCAGGCGCGAAUACUCCGCAAUGCGGGCAACCGCGACGGGGCUACCCCGAGUGCCGGGCGAAGAGCCCGGCUUUUGCCCGGUCUAAAAAGCCGGGAGAAUAAGCGGGGGGCAAGUCUGGUGUCAGCCGCCGCGGUAAUACCAGCUCCGCGAGUGGUCGGGGUGUUUACUGGGCUUAAAGCGCCCGUAGCCGGCCCGGCAAGUCGCUCCUGAAAUCCCCGGGCUCAACCCGGGGGCGGGGGGCGAUACUGCCGGGCUAGGGGGCGGGAGAGGCCGCCGGUACUCCGGGGGUAGGGGCGAAAUCCGUUAAUCCCCGGAGGACCACCAGUGGCGAAAGCGGGCGGCCAGAACGCGCCCGACGGUGAGGGGCGAAAGCCGGGGGAGCAAAGGGGAUUAGAUACCCCUGUAGUCCCGGCCGUAAACGAUGCGGGCUAGCUGUCGGCCGGGCUUAGGGCCCGGCCGGUGGCGAAGGGAAACCGUUAAGCCCGCCGCCUGGGGAGUACGGCCGCAAGGCUGAAACUUAAAGGAAUUGGCGGG